rnacentral:rRNA from 1 species
UAAGACAGAGGUGCCGAGCGUUAGGCGGAAUCACUGGGCUUAAAGCGUGUGUAGGCGGACUUCUAAGUACCUUGUGAAAUCCCACGGCUUAACCGUGGAACUGCUUGGUAUACUGGUUGUCUUGGGCCAGCUAGGGGCUACCGGAACAAACGGUGGAGCGGUGAAAUGCGUAGAUAUCGUUUGGAACGCCAAUG